rnacentral:lncRNA from 1 species
UUGAAUCCAAAGCUAAAAAAAAAAAAAAAAAAAAAAAAAAAAAAAAAAAGUCUGUCGCUAAUCCUAUUUAAUAACGAAUUCACGAUUGAAAAAUUAUAUAACUAUGAUGUGCUAUGAAGAGACAGAUAAAAAAAAGUGUUUUCUACCGGCUAUUUAGAGAUGGAUUAGUGAUUCAUUUUGUAUUAAAGGAAAUUUUUCGUUUGAAAAAUGUUUUCUAGAAAAAUAAGUGGAUAUUUAUUUUUAUUUUCUCGUCUUUGGUUGAUUAGCAAACAAUAUUUCCUAAAAUUAUUUGUAAAUGAUAUUUUAAACAAAUACUAUAUAUGGUGGGAGUGAGGUGUAAAACCAUUUGUGAAAUUUGUUUUCCUUACUUUCAUUAGAAAAAUUAAUUUUCUUUUUCUUUAAAGAGUUCUUUUUGGCAUAAAAAAUAUUUUUAAAAUUAUUUGACCACUCGAAUAUGAUAAAACCCGAAAAAGGUUUCUUUAAUCAAGCUUUAUGCAUUAAUCAUAAUUGAUCUCAAUUUUCUUUAUAACUUUGUGUUUGCUUAAUAGAUUCAUGAAUUUGCUUAACCGUACUACGUGAUGCAAAUAUAACAAAUCAUUAUUAAUUUGUAAAUAACAUAUAAUAUAAACAGGUGAAUAAUGCGGCAAUUCUUGGAGUGCUUUUAGAUAAAGAUUUCAUUAUAAACCCACAAGUAAGUCACUAUAUAUCACAUGGAUUUCUCAUUUUUUUUUUAUUUAUUUUUUCGCCCUACGAGCUCCCAAUUUUUUACUCCCUUUGAUAUAACUCAAACUCAGCACCCUCUUGUCAUCGCGUCCAUUCUUUCGUUCGUUUAUAUUAUCAAUUUUUCUAGCUUUCACUUUCUUUAAAAAAAAAAAUCAAUUUUAUGGUUGUGUAAAUUUUUUUGAGUACAUUUGAAAUGAAAUAACGUUGUGAUGGUCAUGUUGUAGCAAAAUUUAUUCAUUGAGAAGAUGAAAGUAGCAACUCAAACUAUUGAUAUAGGUGAAGAAUGCAUAAAAACAAAUUACUAUGGUGCAAAAUGGAUGAUACAAGAAUUAUUACCUCUACUUCAAUUAUCCGAUUCGCCACGUAUUGUCAAUGUCUCCUCCUCUACUGGAAAGCUCCAAGUACGUACAUAUUUUAUCCAAUCGUUAUAUUAUGAACAUCUAUUUUUAAUACAGUAACUGACACGAUGUUUUGUUUCAGCAUGUACGCAAUGAAUGGGCUAUAGGAGUCUUGAAUGAUUGUGACAAUCUAACAGAAGACAAAGUGGAUGAGGUUUUGAAUGUUUUUCUCAAAGAUUUCAAAGAGGAUUUGUUAGAAAGCAAAAAUUGGCCUCUAAUAGUAUCUGCUUAUACACUAUCAAAAGCAGCAUUAAAUGGUUACACAAGAAUAUUGGCUAAGAAAUAUCCAAAUUUUCUCAUAAAUUGUGUUUGUCCAGGUUAUGUAAAAACUGAUUUAUGUUACAAUUCUGGCAUAUUGACUGUUGAAGAGGGUGCUCAAAGUCCUGUUUGGCUUGCUCUUUUACCUCAAGGAGGUCCAUCAGGGAACUUCUACAAUAGGAAAAAUCUCUCACCUUUCUAAUGAAAUUAAGAAAUCUUGAUCACAGCUAUGUUGCUCGAAUUUUUCAAAAAAUGUUAUUGUAUUUGUGUUGGAUUUUCAGUAAACAUAUAAUACAUAGUUUGCAGAGAAUUCGACCAUAUUAUAGGUUCAUGGACAAAGUUCCUAUUAUAAGGUAUAAAUUGUAAAUUGUAAUACAUAAGUUAAUAAUUAUUGGAUUAUCGUCUAUGGCAUAUGGCUUGAUUUUGCAAAUGUUUGGCUUAUUGUAUUUUUUUUAAAAAAAAUGGAUAUAUAACAUAUUAUAUAAAAUUUUAUAAUCUUACCCUUAUAUUUGAAGUAAAUAAAAAAUAUAGAAUGAUGUACGAUAUCUUUAUAUUUUGACUCAGUUUGUCAGUUGGAUUUUUAUAUAUAUCUUUGUCAAUUAAACAUUUAAACUCACUAAAAUGCAAUACUGUAAGCCCUUUCUUAUUUUAUAUGUGUGAGUGUAACACAGCCGCUCACACAUGAAAUUGUACAUUAUUUUAUGAAAUUUCAUGUCAUUUUGAAUGCCACAUAAGAAAUUAAAUAUCACCUAAAUUUCAAUCAUUCAAAAAUAAAAUUCAAAAACCUAAAUGUUAGAAGUGUAUAAAUCGACUAAGAUUCAUAAAGAAGAAUUUGAAUUACAAAAAUUAAAGAAACUAAAAUGAUUUGGGAUAAAGUGAUUUGGUUGGGUGAGGGGUGGGGGUGUGAGUGAAGAAGAAGGAGAAGAAGGGAGUGGUGUAGGGUGGUGUGGUGCGGGGCUGUAGGAAGAAGGAGAGGGUGGGGGGCACAAGGAAGAAAAAAGUCAUGGGCGAGGGAGGGGUGAGAUAGUGGCUGAAGGGUUGAGAACUUUUCGUAAAAUGGAAAGACUAGUUUUGUAAAUAAAUAAAAUUAAAAAGAAAAUUUGAUUUGUGGUGGCGUCAGCCGUCACGUAUGCAAGCAUAAGGUAUUCAGUAAUAUUAUUGCUACAUAAGCUCAGUUAAUGGUUAUAUGUGUUCAAGAUAUUAUGUUUUAGUAAGUUUAAGGAUUCAGUUGAUGAAAUAGUGAGUAUAAGAGUUCAACUGACAAAUGAACCCAAGUACAAAAACCUCUUAGACUAUUCCGCCAAUACAGAAUAUCUGAACAUCGUUUCAGUUUCACAACUGUUUUUAUGAAAUCGCAGCCCGCUAGGGCGACCUCCUUAUGCAUGGACAUAGAGACAACUAAAGGAACACGAAAAAGAAGUCCCUUUAGUUGCCGGGUCUGUUCAAACAGACCCCGCCAAGAGAAUUUUUAUGUUCUUUCGACCGCACUAAAAAAAUGCAUUAUUAUUUUCAUAAUAGUGUUAAUACAAAAAAUAGAAAAGAUGAUCCCAGUAAAGUUAAUUCAUGGUUGUUGUUUUUUUAAUGAAAUGAAAGAGUAUUUGAAACAAUUUGAUUUGGACUUGAAGGGGAAAGGAGUUUUGCUUUUUUAGAAAAAAAAGAUAUGUUUGGUAUAGAAAAAAUUUCAACUUUCUCAGGUUUAGUUUAGUUAAAUUUUUGGAGAAUUUUUUAAGUUUCUUAAAGUGGAGAAAUGUGACUUCUAUAGGGGAAGUAGAGAAAAAUUUCACAAGUGUCAUUUCAUAUUAACUGCAUUUUCUCCGACAUUCAACACAUCUCAUGUCCAUUCCUAUUUUCACCAUACCACAUUUUAUCUCCGACAAUGUUAAUUGAGAUUAUACACAAUAUUAUAUAUAUAUUUAUGUGAAUGUCCAUAAAUUCAGGUGUAAUUAACCAUAACGUAUAGCAACUCCUACUACCUCCUUAACUUUCCCCCUUUAAUAUUCCUUCAUUACUUGGAUGGUUAAUGUCACGUUUAUAACUAACUUUUUGUAUGCCUCUAAUAUUAUAAAUAGAGACAUAAGGUUCAUAUUAGAUAUUUGAAAGAGUAAGAAAAAUUUUCAUUGUCUCUCUAUGUCUAUUGCUCUCAUCUUUUAUAUUUCUCAUUCUGUUUUGUUUUAAUUUUUCAAUAUAAAUAAUUUUAAGAUAAUAUUUUUUUCAAAAAAAAAAGAGACUUGUAUGCUCGAAGAACUCAUGGCUGGCAUUAGGCCCAAUAAAAAGACUUGUAUGGGCCAAGAACUUAUGGCCGGCAUUGGGCCUAAUUUUCCAUGAUGGUGCAAAAAGUGGACUGGGCUCUAAGUUCAAUAAUAGUGGUUCAGUGUCAAAUUAGUACACUGUUUCAAAAAACGUUUUUGGGUGAGUCCUGAAGCGAGCACACCAAAAAUAUUUUGAUACAUAAAUUAAAGACGUAGAUUCAUAAGGUAUAAGCCUUAAAAUUUAAGGCGUAAUAGUAUAUCCAGGCAUUUUUAAUUUAUUUUUAAAUUCUGUUUUUGCUUUAAAUUAUAUUUUUAUUAUUGGUGUAACGAUUUUUCUCAAAUAGUAAUUAUUAUACUUUUUUCUAUAUUAUUUAUUAUGAAUACUUAUCUCAAAAUAAAAAUCAUGAAUCAUGAAAAGGUUUACUUUUACUUAUUUUCUUAGUAAUAAAACUACUGAACAUACAUGAGACUUACUGUUUCUCGAGGCUUACACAUCGCUUUUUACUAUAAAACGUCGUGCCUAUGCCUUCGCCUUUUGAUACACUCUAUUAUUUCACUAUAAUUCAUUAAUAUUAUAUAUUUUUAAAUCAUGUUAAAUCACUUGACAAAUAUAAAUUAAAUGAAUUAGUUUAUAGAUACCGAUAAGUAUUUACCUUCUUUUCUUUUACGACUAUACGCCAAAAACUUUUGUAUCAAAAAUAUAAACUCUCACCUAUAUAUACUUCAUUAUUUAUUAAUGAAAAUACUACUACAUAGUUUUUCUCACAUUUAAACGCAAAAACACUUCAUACUGUGGCUGAAGCUUCCAACUUCCUAGCAACUCAAAAAAUCUACUUUCAAUUUUAUGGUGCUGAGUCUCACAUUUGUGGGAUGAGAUAGACUUGAGUAUCCUCCUCUCGUCAUGAGCCAGCUUUUGAGGUUAAGUUAAAUUAAAUAUUGUUGGAUUAUCUAUUGAAUAUCUUGUUUUUGUAAUCAAAAUAUUUAGAAAACAUAUUUUUCUUAGGAAAGUGCAUGACUUUUCAAUUGAAAGUGUUAAAAAAAAAGUUCCACUAUUAACAUUUCAUAUUGAUCUUCUAUCAAUAAUUAUUCAGUCAAUAUGAGUCGAUUGGAAGACUAGGUUUAUAUCUGUUGUAUUUGUAUAAUUAAUUUUAUUAUUUCUAUUUCGAUUAUCUUAUUAUUUAUUAUUACUUUUAUUUAUUUUCUUACUUUGUUUGUUGCAUGAUUUAUUUAGUACUGUAUACCUGUAUAUGCUUAGGAAAUAGAGCCAAAUAGAAACUGAACAAUCGAACUCCAGUGGACACUACUUGAGCCAUCAUUUUGCAAUAAUUAAGAAAAAUCUCAAAAUUAAGGUAAUUUAUUUAACACUACUUGAGCCAUCAUUUUGCAAUAAUUAAGAAAAAUCUCAAAAUUAAGGUAAUUUAUUUAACAUUUAAAUAUUAUCUUAUAUUUUAUCAUGACUAAUUUAUUAUUAUAUUUCUUUUCAAUACUUUUUAUUAUGCUUCUCUCAUCCUAAUUAAUAUCGAGACAAACUGCAUAUAUAUUAUUUUUUCAAAUUUCAUUCAAUACAUUAUCAUUAUUUACGUUUAUUUAUGACUUUCUGUCAACCUGCUUGUAGUUGGGAUUCGGUUGCGCUAGGGAACUUUUUGUAUAGUUUGUAAGUAAUAUUAAUAAACUAAAAUAAGAAGUAACUUUAUGAGUCCCACAUUACAAUCAUGAUUAUAAAAUAAAUUCUUUUGAUCUUAUUUAAAUAGGAAAAUGGUUAAAUAUGCCGCUAAACUAUUUAAAAAGAUUUAGAUAUACCUUUCGUUUAAAGUUUGAUUCACUCAUGCCCUCACCGUCCAACUUUUGGUCUGAAUAUGCCUUUAUGGGUUUUAGUUGCCAUGUUGGACAUAUCUUACUCAUUUUUUCAUUUGUUUAAAUGUCACAUGGAAUUGUCAUGUUAUUUUGACCUAAUCACACGACAUUUAUAUGAAAAUGAAAAGAUAUACGGACUCAUAAAAACCUAAUCCGACCCAUAAAUCAACUCGUUUUAAAUUUACUAUUUGACCCAUUUUUGACAAUUUUGCUUAGUUUUUAUUUUUUCGGUAAGUCCCGAAAAUGAGUAAUUGAUUUAAUAAAAAAUAGGAAAAAUACAAAAAAAGAAUUAACGCAAAAAAAAAAUUCACAAAUAAAUAUAGUAACCUUAAAUCUAACAUUUUAAUAUUUUUUUUAAAUUUUUUUAUUUUUUCGGUAAAUCUCAAAAAUGAAUAAUUUGAUUAAUAAAAUAAUAUGAAAAGUAUGAAAAAAAUAUAAAUUAACGCCAAAAGUUCACAAAUAAAUAUAAUAACAUUUCAUUCUACAAUUUUUUUAAAUUUUUUAUUUUUUUCGAUAAUCCCAAAAAUGAGCAAUUUAUUAAUAAAAAGGGGAAAAUAUGGAAACAAAAUAAAAAAUUUACGUCAAAAUUCACAAAUAAAUAUAGUAACCUUAAAUCAAUAAUUUCAACAGUUUUUUUUAUUUUAUAUUUAUUUCAUAUUUUCCUAUUUUUUAUUUUGUGAAUUUUUAUGUAAUUUUUAUAUUUUUUUCAUAUUUUUUUUGUUAAUAAACUCAUUUUGGGAUUUGCUGAAAAAAUUAAAAAUUAAAAAAAUAUUGAAAUUGUUGAAUUUAAUGUUAAUGUAUUUACUUUUUAAUUUAUGGCGUUAAUUUAUAUAUUUUUUUCAUAUUUUUUAUUAAUCAAUUACUCAUUUUCGGAAUUUAUCAGGAAAAAAAAUUAAAAAAAUGUUUAAAUUGAAUUUAAGGUUACUAUAAUUAUUUGUGAAUUUUUGGCGUUAAAUUUAUCUUUUUUCAUAUUCUUUCAAUUUUUUUAUUAAUCAAUUAUUCAUUUUUGGAAUUUAUUGAAAAAAUAAAAAUUAAUUAGUCGGAUAAUUUAUUUAAAAGUGGGUUGAUUUAUGGGUCGGAUUAGGUGUUUAUGAGUCCAAAUAUCUUUCCAUUUUCAUAUAAAUGUCAUGUGAUAAGGUAAAAAUGACAUGACAAUUUCAUGUGACAUUUAAAUAAAUGAAAAAUGAGUUGGAUAUGUCCAACAUGUCAACUAACGCCCAUAAGGGCAUAUUUGGACAAAAAAUUGAACGGCGAAGCCAUGAGUGAACCAAACUUUAAAUGGAGGAUAUAUUUAAAUCUUUUCGAAUAGAUUAGGGGUAUAUUUGACCAUUUUCCCUAUUUAAAAUGACAACUUCCUACAUUGAAACUAGACAAGAAUGUGAAAAGUAUCUUUAAAUUCCUAUCCAUCAUUUUCCCAACCUAUUAGAAAAAAAGUACUUGAAUACAAUGACUCUUUAUUUACCCUUUAUUUCAUUUUUGGACAUAAAUUUAUAAAGGAAUUGAAUUUUUUUUUUAAUGAAAAUCAAUCUAAGUUAAAUUUUAAUUCUUUACAAGAACCUUGUUUCAUUUUUUAAAAAAUAAUAAUAAAAAUACUUUACCAAAUUUCUGUUACCUAGAUAUCUACGUGGAUAUCCAUUUUGCCAUAUUUUUUCAGAUAUAUAAUAAGCUCACUGGAACAUAAUCCCAACAAAGCAAUUAGCUAAAAAGAUAACCAAAAUUAUUAUCGAUGGCAGAAGGCAGAGCAACAAAGUAAUUUACUAUACCCUAUUAUCUUAUCUGAUUUUAUGUGUUAUAUUUUCCUUUUAUUUGUUUACUUUAUCUUAUAGAGAAAAAAUAUAUAUAGAUGUUUCUAAGUUUCAAAUGAUUAAUUUUCAUUUUCUAUUUUAUCAUAACCAUAGGUUUUAAUAACUACAUAAGCAAUUUGAGUUGAUUCAAAUUAUGUCACAUAAAUUGAUGGAUAUGCGCGCAGGUAUGCAGUAGUUACAGGGGCAAAUAAAGGGAUUGGAUUUGAAAUAUGUAGACAGCUAGCUUCUAAUGGAGUGUUGGUAAUUUUGGGUGCUAGAAAUGAGAAGAGAGGGAUUGAAGCUUUGGAGAAACUUAAAGGCUUUGGUUUGGCUGAAAAUGUGGUGUUUCAUCAGCUUGAUGUUGUGGAUAAUUCUAGUAUUGAUUCUUUGGCUGAAUUUAUUAAGACAAAAUUUGGCAGGCUUGAUAUCUUGGUAUAAUGUUCUUGAUUUUAAGUUUCUUGUUUUAUGACCUAAACAAUAUUUGGUAAAAUAAGCUGUUGAUGUUUGUGGUGUUUUUUUAUUAGGUGAACAAUGCAGGAAUAGCUGGAGUCAGUGCUGAUGCUGAUGCCUUAAGAGCUAAACGAGAGUCCAGUGGGGUAACCCCUUAUAACUUGAAUCAAUUACUCCAUCCGUUUCAAUUUGUUGCGCUGGCUAUUUACUUUUGUUGCUGCACCUGUGUUGGGUUCUCCAAAAUUACACAACUUUUGGAGAAUCCAACUCGCACUCAUUAACAUUGUUAAGAGUUUGAGCAACCUAGCUUAGCUUAUGAUGGAGUUUAAGAAAAUAAAAAAGACUUUUGAAUCUUGUGGUCUUAAACUAAAGAUACUUAGAAGGUACCAAAAUGACAUUGAUCUUGUGGUUAAACAUGUCACAUGGAAAAUUAAAAUUAAAGAGCUGUCAAACUAUGAAAAAGAGCAAACACAUUGAAACGGAGGAAUAACUAUAUAUGUCUUAAUACAUAAUUGAUUGUUGUAUGACAAAUAUGAAGUGUAAUAUAGCAGUUUUGUUACCAUUUUCAUCAGGCUACUAAUUGAUGCUUAUCAUAGAUAUUUGCUUGUAACUUAGUGCCUAAUUGAUUGUGCAAGAAGUUAUCAAUUGAUGCUUAUUAUAGAGAUUUACUUGUAAUUAAACUUCCCUGUAAUUAUAGUUACCGUCAUUGCAUCAUAUCAUAAUGUAUGUUCUGUGACGCGUCUAAGAGAAUUCACAACCCCGAAAGUUUCUUAAUUAGGCACGCAAUACGCUCAAAGCAACUAUACCAGAUCUUUCAUUAUACUACAUGUUUGAUCAAUUUAUGUGCAACUUGAUUUGGAUUGAGGUUUCUGCUGUAGCCCUGUACAUAGUGAUCUAGAAACAGAACAGGUCCUGUUUAAUGAGUCUAUUAGGUUCAACAAUCAAGCAAAUCAGUAGCCAUAACUCUCGCUCGUUCUCUCUUUGUGGAAAAUUAAACUUUUGACACGUAACUUCAUCAUUAGCACGCUUUAUUAAUCUUUCUCUGUGCUAUAGACAGGAGGAUCUCAAGUCAAUUGGAAUGAAAUAUUGAGUCAGUCAUUUGAGUUGGCAAAGGAGUGUCUUGAGACAAACUAUUAUGGUGCGAAGAAAAUGACUGAAGCAUGUAUUCCACUCCUCCAAUUAUCUAAGUCGCCGAGGAUUGUGAAUGUAUCAUCCUCUAUGGGAAAGCUAAAGGUAUUAACCUGGCAACAUUUCUUCAGAGUUUUGUAAUUUUUCAGUUUACUGUGAUUUAACUUCUAGAUUUUUAUGUUUAUACAUGCUUGACUGGUGCAAAUGAUAUAUUCUGAAGUAAAAGUAUUGAUUAAAAGUUUGAAACUACUCAAAUCUGCAAUUGCGUACUAAAGAAAUGCCGUUAAAGCAAUUGAUCCAGGAAAAAACUUUUCAGAUGUGGAUAGGAGGACCAGAACAUGUUUACUAAGCCUUAAUCCGACAUCCGGAGGAUAAAAAUUAUGAAGGAAAUGUUUGUCUGCGGAACACUUAACAAUCCCAGCAAACUUAAUAUGUAUAUCUUAAAUGAUUAAGGUUCUUUAUCAGCAAAUUUGAUAAUUUCAAUUUUCUUGUAUGUUAAUUAGAUAAUAUCCAUGAGUAGUGAGUGAAAAUUUCUGUUUGCAUUUCCAGAACUUGAAACAUGAAUGGGCUACUGGAGUAUUAAAUGACAGCGAAAACCUGACAGAAGAGAAAAUAGAAGAGGUGAUAAAUCAAUAUCUGAAGGAUUUCAAAGAAGAUUCACUUCAAGCCAAAGGCUGGCCUUCUUUAAUGUCAGCUUACAUAGUCUCUAAAGCAGCAAUGAACGCUUACUCGAGGGUCAUGGCAAAGAAGCAUCCGUCUAUACAGAUCAAUUGUGUCUGUCCUGGUUUUGUGAAAACAGAUAUCAAUUUCAAUAGUGGGAUAUUGUCUAUUGAAGAAGGCGCGGAGAGUCCUGUAAGGCUUGCUCUACAGCCUGAUGACGGUCCGUCUGGUUUGUUCUUUGAUCGAAAUGGAGUUUCAUCAUUCGAAUGAGAGUAUGUUGUUAAUUGUGAACGCGCAGCUGAUGAUAUAAGCUUAGAAUAACAUGUACUAUGAAUAAUCUUCAAUGAAAUGCAAUUGUGUGUUGUAUCAACAUUUUGUAUGGAUUAUUCAUAAUUCUGUUUUUAGCUCAUUUAUCAUUAUCAUAAUAUAUAAUAUAUUCGUCUAGUAUUUGAAAAUUUUUAUAUAAUAUAUUCGUCUAGUAUUUCAAAAAUUUAGUCGAGUGAUACUAAUACUGAACGAUCCAGAUCAAAAUGUAUUAGAAAAAAAGAUUUUUUUAAGACGACCAUGGAGGAGAUGCUGUAAUUGUUGAGUUGUUUGAAUUCGAUUAUCAGAGAGAUAAUCCUUUUGAAAAUCAAAUUGAUAUGAAAAUUAUAAUGAAUUAUAGAGUGAAAUCAGGGAGAGACAAAAUGACUGAAAAAAAGAAGGGGAAUCGUGGGUUAAGGCGGGAGAAUGAAUCUGGCUCACUUGAGAUUUUGGAAAAAAUAAGGGAUCUUACAUUUUUUUUUUUUGAAUAGUAAGGAAUAAUGAAAAAUAAAGGUGUGUAUAUAGGUAAUUUAUCCAAAAACAAUAUCAUCUAACUUAUCUUAUCAUAACUAAUUUCACCAUAAUUUAUCUGGUCAUAAUUAAUCCCAUCAGAACUUGAACUCAAACAAAACAAUCCCUUAGUAUUUUAUGGUUAUCAAAGUAGGGAGAAUAGAGGUAGAAAAUUAUAUGUAAAAUAAAUUCAGGAUAAUAAAAUUUUAAUAUUAGUAUAAAUGUGUUUUUGAGAUUUUGAAUAUAGUUUAAAUAAGCUCACGUAUUUCAUUCCUUAUUACCAAAAUUCUUUUUUAUUAAUAAUAUAAAUAAUUAAUCUGUCCUAGAAAAUAAAUUAGCUUUUGUGUCUUCAUAUAAUUGGUCCUCUGAAGUCCAAUUCAAACAGGCCCAACCUUGACCGCUCCUAACGGAUAUCUAAAUCGAAUCUUGAGGUAUAUGUAUUACUUCAGAUUCACAUUUUUCACAAUAACGACUUUCUUCUUCUUCUUGUUUUCUUAAGGAAGAGGGUGAUGAAAAAUUGUUGAUUAAAGGGUUAAUUUUUCGAUAUUUUACAUUAGAAAGAGGAAAUGACGGUCAGUUUCGAGUGCGGUGACGAAGAGACAAGCAAUGGUGGCGAAUUCAUCUGGGUUGGAGAAAUAAUCAGGCCGAAAAAUUGAAUGCUGGAGCGUCCAAGAAACGACUGAAACUUUUUAACAUCUCGAAUUCAUACAACUGUAUCUGCUCGUAAUGCGAUUUCUCACUCCUCCAAAUUUGUGAGUGUUUCUCUGUUUUGGUCUCUGUUUAUUAAUGUAGGAAAACAAUUGAAUUAUACUGGGUUUUAUCUUCUUUUUUUGAUUACUGGUUAGAUAAUUCACUUUUUGUAUGAUGGGUAUGAGUUUUCUUGGUUAAAUUUUUGUAUGUAAGGGAAAUGUAGGUGGGUUUUGUGAUUUCUUUUUGGGGGUUUUCUUCUCGGUUCAUUAAAUAAGUAAAAUGGUUAAUGUUUCAUGAAAAAAUGAUUGCAGAUAGUGGUUAAGAAUUUAGUGAUAUGAGGGUUUUGCGGGAUUUUUUCUUUAUUUGGUCAGACUUAGUGAUAUUUGGAAUUUGAGUUCUUUGUUUAUUGACUUCCCUUGUAUAAAUAAGUUCACUAGCAGGGAAUGAUUUAGUUAUCAAGGGAUUUGUUUAAUCUUUUUUAUGGUUAAAGAGUAUUAUGAAUGAAAAAUUUGGAACAACUUCCCCCAAUUCCUGCUUUUUUGGUUUUUUCCUGUAUUGUACUGUUCCUUCUGUUUAUAACUUGAGUUAUAAUGACCUUAAAAUAUAUUCAUUUUUCACUUCAGUAUGAUUCAUAGGACUGCCUUUUAUGGUCUUAGACAAAAAAACUAAAGAGUUUGGUUGUGCUGUUGUUUUUCUCUAGAAAUACGGAGGUUCCAGAUGCAAUGGAGAUGAUAUUUCAAUCUGCCCUAGCUUUGGGUAGAAAGGGAGUUGUAAGUGUUCUUAUCUUGGUCUAUCCUGGUGUUUUUGUUGAAUCGAAUUCGAACAUAAACAAAGUGACUUUAUUAUAGAAUUUUAGGACAGAAGAAAUCACAUAGUGAUUAGUUUGUACACUUGAAUCAAGUUAAACUUUCUCAGCAUCUCACCCAAAGAAGUAGUGAACGAGAGCACAACUUUCUAGUCCUCUAGCUCUCAUGCUUCAAGUGCCUGAUAGUUGCAGCCACCCGAGUUUCUCUCAAAUCUUCCAGUCGUUCCCUCUUUUAUCUUCUAAAUGUAUUCCUAAACAAUAAUCUCUCAUUCACUGGUGUGUAAUUAUACUCCAGUAAAUGACAGUAGAUGCCUGAUUCAGCGACUUUUUGCCACAGAAAAAUCCAAAUGGAGGAUAUAUACUUGUCUAAUUCUUCUGUUUUUAAACUAAAUAAGGGCAUCAGUCUGACUUGUCUAGUGCACAUACUCGUUUUGAUUCACUCUAUUACUUCUGGUACUGUCAAAAUUUUCAGCAUUGCUCACAGAAUAGUAUAUCAAACACCCAGGAGUUCACAUGUUUUCUUCCUUCCUUUGUUUACAGUAUCACUCUUUAUGGUGUUCUCUUCAUCUUAUUGACAAUUCAGCAGUCCUGUUUGUUUGAAGCUCUUCUAGUUCAACAAAUUUUUGUCUGCUCUACUAAAGGUAAUUUCUGAUAAGUUUGCAUGUGGAGAGAAAUUUUUGUUUUUAUAUUGCAGUUAUAUAUGUCAAACCUUAUUUGCAGGUACAUGCGUUUGUUGCUCCCAAAGUUAUAGAUGGGAAAAAUACACCCUCUCCAGUUAGGGAACUUGGAACGGGAGAGAUAACCCAGGCUCUGGAACUAAUUGAUGUUUGCUAUGAGCAGGUUUGAUAGACUUCUUCUUAAAUUUUUCUGAUUAUGUGCAUAGUAGAUGCAUGUUUCGCUGUUACUUAUCCUCAACCACCCCCUUCACCCCAACAAAAUAAAAGAGGGAAAGAGAAAUGCAUUUAGUGCUGUCUGGUCUCCUUAGUUAUGUAGUGUGUGUACAAGUUACAAACUGUGCAUUUUUCUCCUUUUGGCCUUGUCUGGUGUUUUCUUAUUUGAGUGUUGUGCAUUGUCUUUAGUCUUGGUAUCCUUUCUGAUAAAUCCACUGAAGUAUAAAAAAAACCCUUGGUUUUUCUCAAUGUUCGAUUAAACUCCCUUUUAUAGAUGCUAAUUACACUUAGUCGUUGAAUGUUGUUGAAUAUCAGUAAUUACAAGAAGUACCCAAACUUGUGUAUAAAAGUGGAGCACAAAAAUUGACCUUUUCUAAGAAGAUGAGUCACUCCUAUAGUCCUUUUAGGUUUUUAAGUACUAGCAAACUCAGAAAUUUUAAAAAGUUUUCAUGUUGGUGGAAGACUCUGCAUGUGGAAGUUUCACAAAACAGAACGAUAUCAAAGUCAAAUGAAGUAAAAGGCUGCAGUAGGUUAAUGGCUAGUGUGACAUAGUCUAAGGUUUGAUGAAUCAUUUCAACUGAAUGUACUCAAAGGAUUCAUGCAGCCGACCUUAACUAAUUUGUGAUUGAGGCAUAGAGAAGAUUAUUUAUGUUGAUUCUUACCUUUAAGGGAACUUUAGCUAUCAAAAUGGAAUAAGCUAAAGAAAAAGCAGUCAGAAUUUCAGCUUUGUAACUUCUGUCUCUUUCAAAUAAAUAGCUUAAAAAUAACUCCGUUAGGUUCCUCAUUCAAUGACCAUGUGCCCUAUGCUUGCAUUCCAACUACACUAUCUUUCUUUCUCAAUCUCUCCUUCACUUGGUAAUGCUUACAUUCACUUCUGUUAGUGUGUAAAGGAUUUUGUUUAGGUGUUUUCACGCGCAAACUUUCGCACCCUGUUGCUAUUCCGAAUUUUUGAACUCUUUUUAGCUACUGUUGGGUUUACUAAUAAGCCUGUUUCAUGCAGGUACCAUGGGGGGCCUCGGGGCACAGCGCCUUGAGAUCUAGGGGUGGGUGACGGGCCUCAAGGCACGACUCAUCGAGGUCUGGGGGUGGGUGACGGGCCUCGGGGAAUAGCACCUCGAGUUUUUUUUUUUUUGGGGGGGGGGAGGGGGGCGGGCUCGGGUCACGGCGUCUCGAGGUUGGGGGGUGGGGGACGGGAACAGGCCUCGGGGCACGGCGCCUCAAGGUUCGUGGGGUGCGGGGACAGGCCUUGGGGCAUGGUCCCUCGAGGUUCUAGGGGGUGGAGGGGAUGGGCCUCAAAGCAAGGUGCCUCGAGGCUGGGGAGUGGGGGAGACGGGCGAGGGGCACGACGCCUCAAGGUCCGGGGGUAGGGGGGACGUACUCGAUGCACGACGCCUUGAGGUUAAGGGGGAGGGGAGGACGGGCCUCGAGGUCUGGAGGAUGGGGGGGAGAGGCCUCUGGGCACGACGCCUUGAGGUCCGGGGGGAGGGGUUUCGAGGCACAGCACCUCGAGGUCCGGGGUGGGGGGUGGGCGGAGGGGUCUCGGGGCACGGCGCCUCGAGGUUCGAGGGGAGGGGGGAUGGGCCUCGGGGCACGGCUUCUCGAGGUCCAGGGGUGGGGAGAGGGGCCUUGGGCCACGGUGCCUCGAGGUCCCCGGAGGUGGGAGGAGGGGUCUCGGGCACGGCGCCUCGAGGUCCGAGGGGAUAGGGGGAUGGGCCUCGGGCCACGGCUCCUCGAGGUCCCGGGGGUGAGGAGAGGGGCCUCGAGGCACCACACCUUGAGGUCCGGGAGAGGGGGCGGGGGGGGGGGGGGGGGGGGGGGGGGGCCUCGGGGCGCGGCGCCUCGAGGUCCGGGGGAGGGGUCUCGGGGCGCGGCUUCUCGAGGUCUGGGGAGGGGGAGGGGCCUCGAGGCGCGGCUUCUCGAGGUCCGGGGAGGGGGAGGGGCCUCGGGGCGCGGCUUCUCGAGGUCUGGGGGGGGGCGGGGGGGAGGGGCCUCGAGGUUCGGGGGAGGGGAAGGGGCCUCGAGGUUCGAGGCGCGACACCUCGAGGUCCGGGUGAGGGCGCCUCGAGGGGGAGGGGCCUCAAGGUCUGAGGGGAGGGCCCUCGGGGCGCGGCGCCUCGAGGUCCGGGGGGAGGGGCCUCGGGGCACGACGCCUCGAGGUCCCGGGGGAGGGGCCUCGGGGCACGGUGCCUCGAGGUCCGGGGGAGGGGCCUCGGGGCACGGCGCCUCGAGGUCCAGGGGGAGGGGCCUCGGGGCACGGCGCCUCGAGGUUCAGGGGGAGGGGUCUCGGGGCACGGCGCCUCGUUGGGUGGCGGGAGAGGGGCCUCGGGGCAUGAUGCCUCGAGGUUUGGGGUUGGGUGGUGGGGGUGGGGCCUCGCAUGGCGCCUCGAGAUCUGGGGUUGGGUGGCGCAGGCGGGCCUCGAGGCACGACGCCUAGAGAUCUGGGGUUGGGUGGGGGUGGGGGGGGCAUGACGCCUGGUUUUUCCUUGAGGAAGUUUUAAAUUUGAUGUUUUAUGGUUAUAAAGUAGGUGCCGUGUUGGGCAAACAUUUUAAAGAAGUGGUUUAAGGUCCCUUUUCCUUGUAUUUUCUUGACAUGAACGGGAUCAAGAAAAUGCUUGAGGGUUUUUUAGUUGACAGCUAUUGCUACAUAUAGAUAGUGUGAUGCUUAGGUAUACAGAACUCUGGAGGAUCCCAUUUACACAAACAGUGUGAAAUAUCUCCUAGUGGACAGAGAUGAUGCAUCCACUUUCACAUUUAUGACGAAAAUCUAGGUGCAUCGGUUAGCCAGCCACAUUGGAAGCAUUUAGUGUUUGUUGGAAAAAGGCACCGACCAAUGUAGAGUAGGAAAUACAGAGCUUUAUUGACUUUUGCAAAGUACUGAUAAUUGCCUUUAGUUGCUGAGGCAGACUGAAUGAUUGAGAACUAGUUGAACUCUCCUAACUAAAUAAACUGUGUUUCUUGUCUGAUGCGGGUUGUGCUCAAGUGGUGGCUUGAUUUGGCUGGCAUGUGUCUUAUCUCCUUACAUUACAAAUUCCUUUAAGCUGUUACGUUUCUCAUGUUGAGGUUGAUGGUUUUAUAGUUAACAACUGUUGUUAAGUUUAGCCAAUAAAUGUAAUCAUGUCAAAAAUAUUCCACAUGAAAAUUCUGGAGGAUCCCAUUUACACCAACAGAGUAAAGUAUCUCUGUGGUUGAUGAAGAUAAAUCUGUAGGUGCAUGUGUGUAAUCAGCCAUGUUGAAAUUGUUUACUGAUGGAAAAUGAACAUUGACCUAUGUAGACUGGAAAUGCAGAGCUUAAUUGGCUUUCCAAUAUACUUUUUAUAGCAUUUGCUAAGGUAAUCUGAAUAGUUGAGAAUUAGUCAAGUCCUCCCAACUAAAUAAACCAACUCUUCUCCUUGUCUAAUGUGAGUUGUGGUAAUUUGGUAGCUUGAUUUAUCUGGCUUGUGGUUAUUCUUGAAUAGAGAUGAUGACAGAGAGGAUCGGAAGGCAGGACAAGGAGGAGGACAGAUUCUUCUCUCGUUUGAUCGGGGGAAUAAUGAGUUACAUGACUUCACUGUUCUCCUUCGAAGAACAAAUCUAAAUAAGUUGUUAAUAGUAAGUCUUUAACCAAGUUAACUAAGAGAAAUGAGAUUCCAAUUAUGUUUUCUUAGUAAUUAUACUACUUUAAUCCAUUAAAAUUAAUAUCUUAAGAGAAAUCUAUUUAUUUAAUCAAAGAUAAUUUAAAAGUAUAUAGAUAAAUGAGAAGGGACAUCCAAAUUUGUUCCGUUUCCAUGAACCGAAAACUUAUCCAUGAUUAAGUUACACCACCUGGAUAGUGGCAAUUAGAGCUGAUAGUUGGAAACAAAUCAGAAAACUUGAUAAAAAAUGAGGUGUUUUCUUAAAUUUGUAACCUUUUAAGUUCCUUUUUGAUGUUUAGUUAAUGCUUAUGCUAAAGACAUUUUAAGCUUCUGUCUAGAUUGUGAAACUGGUGAACACUUGACAGUUUAAGAAUUCAGAUGUUUGGGAUGAAACGUUUUAUUGAAAUGUUAUCAUUUGAAGAAGUUAACCUGAUAAAUCAUGCUAGAUAAUUGCUCAGUCACCUCUCACUUCUCUGAAAAAAGACGUUGACCAUUGAAUGUCUUAUAUCUAACUUGAGGAUGUGAAAAAAGUUCAUCUGCAAGUCCCCCUUCCUUCAUUUGGGAAUUUCGUUUUUUUGAAAUUGAGUAUAUUUAGCGGAUUUGCCUUUUGCUCAAUAUAACUUCUCCCUUGCCAAAAUGAUUAAUUCUAGUUUUUAUUUUUCUUUGGUUGUGUGUCAGAUUAGUCUUGACAGACUUUUUUUUUUGCAGGAUGUCAAAUCCCCAG